GUGGAUUAGAUACCCUAGUAGUCCACGCCGUAAACGAUGGAUACUCGGUGUCGGCCGCAAGGUCGGUGCCUAAGCUAACGCAGUAAGUAUCCCACCUGGGAAGUACGAUCGCAAGGUUGAAACUCAAAGGAAUUGACGGGGGCCCGCACAAGCAGUGGAGCAUGUGGUUUAAUUCGAUGCAACGCGAAGAACCUUACCUGGGCUCGAAAGACUGGAUUAUCCUCCGGUGAAAGUCGGAGGCGCUUCGGCAAUCCAGACAGGUGCUGCACGGUUGUCGUCAGCU
rnacentral:rRNA from 1 species